rnacentral:rRNA from 1 species
UACGAAGGGUGCAAACGUUGCUCGGAAUCAUUGGGCGUAAAGCGCACGUAGGCGGCUUCGCAAGUCGGAUGUGAAAUCCCAUGGCUCAACCAUGGACGUGCACCCGAAACUGCGAGGCUUGAGGACUGGAGAGGAGACUGGAAUUCAUGGUGUAGCAGUGAAAUGCGUAGAGAUCAUGAGGAAGACCAGUGGCGAAGGCGGGUCUCUGGACAGUUCCUGACACUGAGGCACGAAGGCCAGGGGAGCAAACGGG